rnacentral:rRNA from 1 species
CACCGGCAGCUCAAGUGGUGGCCAUUUUUAUUGGGCCUAAAGCGUUCGUAACCGGCUUGAUAAGUCUCUGGUGAAAUCCCACAGCUUAACUGUGGGAAUUGCUGGAGAUACUAUUAGGCUUGAGGCCGGGAGAGGCUGGAGGUACUCCCAGGGUAGGGGUGAAAUCCUAUAAUCCUGGGAGGACCACCUGUGGCGAAGGCGUCCAGCUGGAACGGACCUGACGGUGAGUAACGAAAGCCAGGGGCGCGAACCGG